GGUUGGUAUCAUACCAGCACUAAUGCACCGGAUCCCAUCAGAACUCCGCAGUUAAGCGUGCUUGGGCGAGAGUAGUACUUGGAUGGGUGACCCCAUGGGAAGUCCUCGUGUUGCAACCC
rnacentral:rRNA from 2 species